rnacentral:rRNA from 1 species
GAUGAACGCUGGCGGCGUGCCUAAUACAUGCAAGUCGAGCGAACGGACGAGAAGCUUGCUUCUCUGAUGUUAGCGGCGGACGGGUGAGUAACACGUGGAUAACCUACCUAUAAGACUGGGAUAACUUCGGGAAACCGUAGCUAAUACCGGAUAAUAUUUUGAACCGCAUGGUUCAAAAGUGAAAGACGGUCUUGCUGUCACUUAUAGAUGGAUCCGCGCUGCAUUAGCUAGUUGGUAAGGUAACGGCUUACCAAGGCAACGAUGCAUAGCCGACCUGAGAGGGCGAUCGGCCACACUGGAACUGAGACACGGUCCAGACUCCUACGGGAGGCAGCAGUAGGGAAUCUUCCGCAAUGGGCGAAAGCCUGACGGAGCAACGCCGCGUGAGUGAUGAAGGUCUUCGGAUCGUAAAACUCUGUUAUUAGGGAAGAACAUAUGUGUAAGUAACUGUGCACAUCUUGACGGUACCUAAUCAGAAGGCCACGGCUAACUACGUG